rnacentral:rRNA from 1 species
GUGAGGAAUAUUGGUCAAUGGCGGUAACGCUGAACCAGCCAAGUAGCGUGAGGGAUUACGGCCCUAUGGGUUUUAAACCUCUUUUGUUAGGGAGCAACCUAUGGCACUAGUGCCAUACUGCGAGUACCUUUCGAAUAAGCAUCGGCUAACUCCGUGCCAGCAGCCGCGGUAAUACGGAGGAUGCGAGCGUUAUCCGGAUUUAUUGGGUUUAAAGGGAGCGCGGACGGGUGAUUAAGUCAGCUGUUAAAUUUCGGGGCCCAACCCCGUUAUGCGGUUGAUACUGGUUAUCUUGAGUGCGGCAUGGGCAGGCGGAAUUCACGGUGUAGCGGUGAAAUGCUUAGAUAUCGUGAAGAACUCCGAUCGCGAAGGCAGCUUGCCGGACCGUUACUGACGUUUAGGCUCGAAAGUGCGGGUAUCAAACAGG